UACGUAGGGUGCAAGCGUUGUCCGGAAUUAUUGGGCGUAAAGAGCUCGUAGGCGGUUUGUUGCGUCGGCUGUGAAAUCCCGAGGCUCAACCUCGGGUCUGCAGUCGAUACGAGCAAACUAGAGUGUUGCAGGGGAGACUGGAAUUCCUGGUGUAGCGGUGAAAUGCGUAGAUAUCUGGAGGAACACCGGUGGCGAAGGCGGCAUCCUGGACCAACACUGACGCUGAUGAGCGAAAGCCAGGGGAGCAAACGGG
rnacentral:rRNA from 1 species